rnacentral:lncRNA from 1 species
CCCACUUGGCUUCCGUGUCUUUAAAUGACGAACGGAUAUGCUUCGGUGAAGCUCGUAAGCAUGCUUAAUAGUACCACGAGCACCUAGUGAAGCCCGCACCAUGCCACAUCCAGCCUUCUUUCUCUCACCCUCACGCAAAAUCCAUGCCGAUGCUGGCUGCCGUCACCUGCGCCUCGCGCCGCCGCCGCAUGCACUGCCGCGGCAGCGACACCGCGGCGGCGGCGCUGGAGCUUGACCAGGGGCAGCAUGACCCGGGCAACCACCACCACCGCUGGCGGGAC